GACGAACGCUGGCGGCGUGCUUAACACAUGCAAGUCGAACGGAAAGGCCCUGCUUUUGUGGGGUGCUCGAGUGGCGAACGGGUGAGUAACACGUGAGUAACCUGCCCUUGACUUUGGGAUAACUUCAGGAAACUGGGGCUAAUACCGGAUAGGAGCUCCUGCUGCAUGGUGGGGGUUGGAAAGUUUCGGCGGUUGGGGAUGGACUCGCGGCUUAUCAGCUUGUUGGUGGGGUAGUGGCUUACCAAGGCUUUGAAGGGUAGCCGGCCUGAGAGGGUGACCGGCCACAUUGGGACUGAGAUACGGCCCAGACUCCUACGGGAGGCAGCAGUGGGGAAUAUUGCACAAUGGGCGGAAGCCUGAUGCAGCAACGCCGCGUGCGGGAUGACGGCCUUCGGGUUGUAAACCGCUUUCGCCUGUGACGAAGCAUGAGUGACGGUAAUGGGUAAAGAAGCACCGGCUAACUACGUG
rnacentral:rRNA from 1 species